rnacentral:lncRNA from 1 species
AAAAGUUUUUAAUGAUUGGCCAAUUCUAUUCUCCAAGAUCCCCAAGUAAAUGGAUUCUUUUUUUUUUUUUUUUUUUUGAGACAGAGUCUUGCAUUGUCACCCAGGCUGGAGUGCAGUGGCACGAUCUUGGGUCACUGCAACCUCUGCCUCCCAGGUUCAAGCAAUUCUCCUGCUUCAACCUCCCGAGUAGCUGGGAUUACAGGCACGUGCCACCACACCUGGCUAAUUUUGGUAUUUUUAGUAGAGGCGGGGUUUCACCAUGUUGGCCAGGCUGGUCUCAAACUCCUGAUCUCAAGUGAUCUGCCUGCCUUGGCCUCCCGAAGUGUUGGAAUUACAGGCAUGAGCCACCGUGCCCAGCCAGUCAAUGGAUUCUUGAGGAGUCCCUUUGCUUUCUCCUUGGGCUGCCCCAUGAGGGGUAUGUUCUCUAGUCAGGGAUGCCCAGGCCAGCCUAGCAUACUGGGGGGAGGUUCAUUUCUAACUUUGAACAAUGGCUAAGGCCACAGGACCCUGGGCAAGUUUGCAAAGGCAGAGCGUCAUUCAGAGAGAUCUGGGGAAGUGACAUUGUGGUUGCAGUGUGUGCAAAGGCCCCGGGGUAGGAAAGGCUGGGCAUGUCGGAGGGGCACAGGGCUGGAGUGCUGAGACCGAGGGGGUGGGGCAUGGAGGAGGUGAGGUCAGGGAGAUAGGGAGGGCCUGCAGACCUUGGCAUUCGGACUAAAGAGUCCGUUGCAGAACGAGCAAGCAUUAUUAAAGUUAGCCCUCUACACUGAACCAUGUUCGAGGGCCCCUUUCACUCCUUCUCUUCUACCCCGCCUCACCGACCCUUUCCCACCUGUUCUCAUUUCUGCGUCUAUGUCCGAGGAGGCUCAGGUGCAACCCUUUCCAUUGGAACCAACCCACUCCCAUGCCCAGUGGUUCUGCAUGACUUUAUUGACAUAACCACACUAGUAAAUAAAGGAGAGAAGAAGCCAGUCCUUGGAUGAAGUUUCCUCUUGCUUUUCCAGCGAAUGAUACGAUGGGUCUCUGUUCAGCCCUGUAGCCUGGGGUGCUUUUGGCAGAGGUGCCUUUUCCUUCGACAGUCCUGGAAAGCAGGCUGCAUAAACCAGCUGCCUAGAACUGGGAGGUGAGUGCGGAGGAAGAAUAGGUAGAGAAAACUUAACUGGCUCAUGUUCUUCGAAGCUGCCACAUUUCCCGAAUAUGCCCACUUGGGUCAGAUUUCGAAGGCGAAGCCUUUUGCAGUCAUGAACUGCGGGAGCCCAGGCUGUGUUCAAAUUCCUCCGGAAGAAAGAAAGAAUAAACGAGAACAGGCUGUGGAAAAGAAUGUAGUUAGUGUCUUAAAGAUGGCCAAAUAUUCAUUCUCAUUUGUCCUUUUAUAUGAAACAGAUUUUUAAAAAGGCAAUUGGAGUAGCUAAUGACAUCCAGAACCCCGUUGAUUCGAGUGGGGCUGGGGGUGGGGGCUUAAAUUGGCCCAAACAGCUAAUCAGGCCGAAAGAAAGAGGUGAGUUGAUUACCCUGGAAAUUGCACAGGAAUUCUUCAAAGAUGUGGCCAAUAAUUAGAGUUUAAGAUGCUACUCUUUAUGCACAUAACUUAGCAUAAUUUUAUUAGGCAGCUCAUCACCAACAGAAUUAGUGAAAAUCAGGCCAGAAAAAAUCUGAGAGCCAGGCUUAUGCAGACGUGGAGGCUUUUGCUCUAAAAUGGUCUGCUCACGCUUGGGGAAGACCCCAAGAGAAAGCACUACCUUUCUUCUGGGCCCUGAGCGGGUUGGGAGUGGAAAUGAAUCAGAGCCAUUUCAGGGGGCUGUGCUGGAGUUGGGGACAAUGUGGCCUGGACCUAGCUGGGACGGACACAGACUUGGUUUGAACACCAGUUUCCCCACUUACUGGUGAGUGAGAUGGGGCCAAUUCCUUAAAUUCUGACCUCCCAUUCCUUGCCUGUUUUUGGGAGCAGGAACCCCAUUUGUGAGGAUCAGCCAUGAGGCUGAUGGCAUUGGAAGCAGUGCAGAUAUAGAAACAGUAGCUGUCAUUAUCACUCGAGGCUGCUGCUGAUGGAGGGAGGCCUGGUCUCCACCAAGCUCAAAAGCCCUUCAUCAGAAUGGGUUUAUGCUACUGUUUCCCCCAAACACUGCAGUCACCUGGCUGGCUAGAGUUCUUAGAAGAUUUCAAAGUUUGGGGGCAGAGGCAAUGUCCAACCUUGAAUCUUUUUUUUUUUUUUUUUUUUUGAGACAGAGUCUCACUCUGUAGUCCAGAUGCCCAGGCUGGUGUGCAGUAGCGAGAUCUUGGCUCACUGCAACCUCUGCCUCCCGGGGUUAAGAGAUUCUUGUGCCUCAGCCUCCCAAAUAGGUGGAACUACAGGUGUGUGCCAGCAUAUCUGGCUAAUUUUUGUAUACUUAGUAGAGAUGAGGUUUCACCAUGUUGGCCAGGCUGGUCUCGAUUGCCUGACCUCAGGUGAUCCACCUGCCUCGGCCUCCCAAAGUGCUGGGAUUACAGGUGUGAGCCACUGCACCUGGCCUCGACCUUGAAUCUCUCUGUGCACCUUUCAUGGAUUUGCAAACUUGCCCAGGGUCCUGUGGCCCCAGCCGUGGUUCUCAGUUGGAGGUGAACCUGCCUCCAGUAUGCUGGGCUGGCCUGGGCAUCCCUGACUGGAGAAUGUACCUGUCAUGGGGCAGGGGACAUACAGACAAAGGAGAAGGCAAAGGGACUCCUCAAGAAUCCAUUUCCUCAGGGAUCUGGAAGGGAGAAUGAAAGUCAUAGAAUUGGCCAAUCAUUAAAAACUUCUCUUUUUACAUUAAAACAAACUUAUUAAUAUAAUAGAAAGCAGAAUUUACUUGUGUUAAAAAAAUAUAGCUAAGGUAUGCGGGGCUUAAUACCUAGGUGAUUGGUUGAUAGGUGCAGCAAACCACCAUGGCACACGUUUACUUAUGAAACAAACUUGCACGUCCUGCACAUGUAUCCCAGAACUUAAAAUUCAAUUAAAAAAAAAAAAACACACAAGGCAUGAGAUAAUUGAGGGGGAGGAGGUGGCUGGUGCCCAUGUGGAUGGGCGGCGGCGGGGCUUCACUAUUGGCUUCUGCUCAUAGGAUCCAGAGGUGCAGCUUGAGAGGAACUGGCUUAUCCUUAGCAAGCCAGGCGUCUGGCCCAUGGUUAGGGCUCAGUAAACCUUUGUGACAUUUGAGUUGGUUUUAAAAAUAAUUCUGGUAAAAUAUACAUAGCAUACAAUUUAUUAUUUUAAACUUUAUUUUUUUUUUGUGAUGAGAUCUCGCUCUGUUGCCCAGGCUGGAGUAAAGUGGCACAAUCAUAGCUCACUGUAACCUUGAACUCCUGGGCUUAAGUGAUCUUCCUGCCUCAGGACCCUGAGUAACUGGGACUACAGGCCCAAGCCACUGUGCCUGGCUAAUUUUUUAAUUUUUUUUUUUUUGUAGAGAUGGGGUCUUGCUAUGUUGCCUAGGCUGGUCUUGAACUCCUGACCUCAAGUGAUGCUCUCACCCUGGCCUCCUAAAGUGCUAGGAUUACAGGCCAUUUCAACUAUUUUUUGUUUGUUUGUUUGUUUUGGUUUUUGAGACGGAGUCUGGCUGUGUCGCCCAGGCUGGAGUGCAGUGGUGCGAUCCCGGCUCACUGCAACCUCUGCCUCCUGGGUUCAAGCGAUUCUCCUGCCUCAGACUCCCAAGUAGCUGGGACUACAGGCAUGCGCCACCACACCUGGCUAAUUUUUGUACUUUUAGUAGAGAUGGGAUUUCACCAUGUUGGCCAGGCUGGUCUGGAAUUCCUGACCUCAGGUGAUCUGCUCGCUUCGGCCUCCCAAAGCGCUGGGAUUACAGGCGUGAGUCACCGCGCCCAGCAUUUCAACAAUUUUUUAAGUGUACAGUUCAUUGGCACUAAGUUCUUGAGUUUUAAGAGUGGAUUCUGGGCUGGGCGCGGUGGCUUGUGCCUGUAAUCCCAGCACUUUGGGAGGCCGAGGCGGGCGGAUCAUGGGUCAGGAGAUCGAGACCAUCCUGGCCAACAUGGUGAAACCCUGUCUCUACUAAAAUACAAAAAAAUUAGCUGGAUGUGGUGGCACUUGCCUGUAGUCCCAGCUACUCGGGAGGCGGAGGCAGGGGAAUUGCUUGAACCCGGGAGGUGGACGUUGCAGUGAGUCAAGAUUAUGCCACUGCACUCCAGCCUGGCGACAGAGCGAGACUCUGUCUCAAAAAAAAAAAAAAAAAAAAAAAAGUGCAUUCUGGAAGAUUCAGGAACCUGACUGAACAAAAUGACUCUUGCCUUUUGAUGGCUUUUUACACCUGCAAAGUACUUUCCCACCUAGACCUCACAAUUUCGUGAGGCAGGUGUCAUUAUCUCCAUUUUGUAGAUGAGAAAAACAACACCGAGAGAGGGUGAGGUUGACCCAGGCCCACAUAGCACCUAAAAUGAUUGAAUUUUGUGGUUGAAUUUUGACAGAGGAUGUAUCUGUGAGAAAAAACAUCUGUUAUAGCAGAAAACUCUCAAACGACCUAGUUUAAAUAAGAUAUAAAGUGCUUUCUGUCUCACAUCAGAGGAGGCUGGGGUUAGGAGGUUCAGGAGAGGUAUGCUGGCCUGGAUUGUCACUGGGAAACCAAGGCUUCUUCAGCUCUGCACUGGCCCAUCCUAAGGCUGCUGCCCUUAUCCUCCUUAUCCAGGGUGGCUGCUGGAGGUCCCGCCUUCAUGCCUGAAGUCCGGCCAGUAGGAAGGAGCAAAGAGAGGGAGCCCUGUCCUUUGAGGGAGACUUCCCAGAGUUCCCACACAUUGCUUGUGCUGACAUCUUGGGCAAAUGACCACAUGACCACACCUGGCUUGCAAAGAGGCUGGGAAAUGUAGCUGUUUAACAAGAAUACUGACAAAAAGCAAGGUUUUGUUUCUGAGGCAGGAGGGAAAAGAAGGUGGGCAAACAGCAGUUUCUACACUAGACAGGGGAAAGACGUGGGAUUCUAAGGAACCUUCACCUUAAAUUACUUCAUUUACUUACUAUAUACUAUUUUUUUUUCUUGUAUACAGAGUCUCACUCUGUCACCCCGGCUGGAGUGCAGUGGUGCUAUCUCGGCUCACUGCAACCUCUCCUUCCCAGGUUCAAGUGAUUCUUGUGCCUCAGCCUCCCAGGUAGCUGUGAUUACAGGUGCUUGCCACCACAUCCUGCUAAAUUUUUUUUGCAUUUUUUAGUAGAGACAGGGUUUCGCCAUGUUGGCCAGGCUGGUCUGGAACUCCUGGACUCAAGUGAUCCACCGGCCUUGGCCUCCCAAAGUGCUGGAGUUAGGGCAUGAGCCACCGCGCCCGGCCACCAUACACUUAAAGUUAAAUGGGUGCCAGAGGUGAGUGAACAGGUAGGAGACGUGAACUCGCCCUCUUGUGAGAGCAGUAGCUGUGAUCUCACUAGGCACUCUCUGGCCAGACACAUUAUUUCUUUUUAUUUUAUUCCUUUCUUUUUUUGCAUUCCUUAUUUCAUUCAUCUUAAUUUUCCCUGAAUCUCUUAGUUUUUCUUCUCCUGUUGUCUUUUUGUUUUAAAAAAAUGAGUAUAGAAUACAUACAGCAAAGUGUAUCUAGUAGGCUAAUAUUAAAUGCAUAGUGAUACAUUUUUGCAUAGGUUUGCACCCAUGGGACCCCUACUGGGAUCAUGGAGAAGGUGUCUGAUUCACUUUAUGAGAAACUGCCAACAAACUCAAAGUGAGAUAGUACUUUAUCCUUACUAGGAUGGUUACAAUUAAAAGGACACGGUCAGUGUUGGAGGGGAUGUGGAAAAAUCAGAACCUUCGCGCACUGCUGGUGGGAAUGUGAAAUGGUUUGCUUGCUUUAGAAAACAGUCUGGCAGUUUCUUUUGGGGGUGAUGGUUGCACAACUCUGUAAAUUUACUAAAAACCAUUGAAUUAUAUACUUUAAAUGAGUGAAUUUUGUGGCAUGUAACUUAUAUCUCAUUAAAGGUGUUAAAAUCCUGCCAAACCAUUUUCCAGAGUGGCUGUACCAUUUUUGCAUUCGUAUGAGAGUUCCAGUUCUACAUCCUUGUCUGCGCUUAGCAUUGUCGGUAUUUAAUCUAGCCAUUCUAACAGAUGUGCAGUGGUAUCUCACCAUGGUUUUAAAUAUCAUUUCCCUAACAGUUGAUAAUAUUGAACAUCUUUUCAUGUGCUUGUUUGCCAUCCAC